rnacentral:other from 1 species
UGUUUCUUGGGGUGUAGGUGUGUUAAAACUGACCCGGAGCCGAUAAUCACAUACUCGGAGACUCUUCGCUUAUGCCAGUGUGCACAUCCGCCAGACGGAGAGCCUAAAUCAUAACAAGAGUCCCCACCUGAACCCUACGGUUCAGGGUCAAAUUUGACCACGGCGCCCUAGGUGCACU